UGCGUGGCUAGACAGGCCAGUCGAAAAGCGGCAUCGUCACCGCCUGCCAUGCAUUUAUCGAUGAC
rnacentral:ncRNA from 2 species